rnacentral:rRNA from 1 species
UACAGAGGUCCCAAGCGUUGUUCGGAUUUACUGGGCGUAAAGGGCGCGUAGGCGGCCACGACAAGUCACUUGUGAAAUCUCCGGGCUUAACUCGGAACGGUCAAGUGAUACUGUCGGGCUAGAGUGCAGAAGGGGCAACUGGAAUUCUCGGUGUAGCGGUGAAAUGCGUAGAUAUCGAGAGGAACACCUGCGGCGAAGGCGGGUUGCUGGGCUGACACUGACGCUGAGGCGCGAAAGCCAGGGGAGCGAACGGG